GGAGACAGUUUCCAGGCUAAAGGACUGUUGGGGGAGUGAGAAGGCUGCUGGAGAGGGAUGGGUCCAGGGGACAGCUUCGGUCUCAGAGGAUGGGAGGAAAGGUGGCGCUGUGAGCCACAAGAGAGGAGCUGGGAGGGCUGACUGGUUUGAGAUGGGGAAAACAGGAGAUUGAGGGAGCAAGUCAAGCGGCUGCAGAGGCUACUAAACCGGUGUAAAGUCCCCGAAGCCCUGGGAAGAGCAGGUUUUAAGAAGUAGAACAUCGUCGUCGUGAUUUCAAGCAGCCACUAGAUGCCAGAUAUUGGCUGGCUGUGGGCCUCUGAGGAGCACAGAGCCGGGCCUGGUAGAAGUCUGGGUGGGCAGCUUUGGUGGCCGCAGAUGCACAGGUGAUGUGUCUCGGAGCUGACUUGCUGACUCCACGGAUCGGCUGCUGGUGUGGAAGGCCACGUUCACAGAGAGCUGCUGGAAAUAAUGAGGUUUGUGUGAUGUGUUACUGUUGUAAGAUUCGCACAGAGGGGUUGUCAGAUCAGAAGACCCGUUCCGCCUUCCUGAAGUGAAGCUUACAUGGAUGCGAUGUUAAUGGGAAGCACCCAUCUAAAGUCUCAGGAACGAGUUCUGUGCUGUACCCAGAUAGAGAUGUCUACUCUCCUCCAUUCUGAUGAUAUUGGUGAGAGUAAGAAAGUAGGUACAGCCGAGCCGUCUUUGCCACCUCACAGAUGUUGUCGUUUGAUGCUUCCCUGAAGGUUCUGCUCUAAGGGGCAGGCUGCAGUUUGUGUUUUCAGUGACAAAGGGCAGUCUACAGCCUCAUGAUAAAGGACUGUACCAGGAGACAAGGAACCCACAGAGAAAAGGAGCACGCUGAGUCAAGAGGACAAAGGGCCGGCACCCUCCAAGAACAGGGACUUCGAGAAGACAGCUAUGCCUUUAGCAAGGCCUCCAGUCCCUCCGUCUGGGUCCUUGCAUGUGAGGAAGAGAAUGCUGGGAAAGUGCCCUGGUCUUGUCUGCAGGCCCCAUGGACCAUCCUUUCCUAAACCUCACC